AGAUCAUAACUUUUAAGAACUUUGUUUUUAAAUGCCAGCCAACACUUUCUUUUUCUCCCGACGCACAAAGUGAUUGAAGUGUCACGUUUUCUGAAGUACCGGAACCAUUUUCACACUUCGGUGGUUUUAAUUUGAAAGAAACCGGAAAUUGCUGGGGUUUCUCGAUCACUAUCGUAUAUAAUAUCUAUAAUCACUAUGACAGCGGAGGUCUGACGAGAGGAGAGCAGACUGACAACAAGAGACUCUGAGACAGCAGAAUGGAGGUAUCGAGGAGAAGAAUCUUCCAAAGACACCUGGAGCCAGCGAGGCCGCUUCGUCGUGACAUUCAGGUGGACUUUGAGCCCCAAAAAAUCGCUGCGACAAAACUCAUGAAUCAAGAGUCUGUCUCCACCUGGCAGAGAUCGACUGUCAUGGAUCAGUUCUUCAAGAAGGAAAACCCUCACAAACCAGUGAAAGAUAGAAUUUCAUAUUCAAGAGACUUUUUAAUCCAUCUGGCCAGUUCUCCCGAGGCCCAGAAAAAGCCAAGAUACCUACCAGACCACCCUGUAGUCUUAUCUGUGGCAAGAGCCCCAUAUUUCCCCAGUCCUACUGAUGCACAGGGGAAUAAAGAAAACGAAAACAUGGGCAGUGGAAUAUUUUACCAACCAAAAUAUGUUUGAACAAGUCUCUAAAGUCUACCAGACAACUGUUCUGUGUUGUCUGCAUUUCUUUCUCAAGGUAUUUUAAUUUAUGUCGUUUGAGUUUUACAUGUUUUGUUAUAUUUAAUGUGGAAUGAGAGUGAUUAGUGUUGGACUUUAUGAUAUUUUCAGCAAAACACGUGUACCUGCUCCUCUCUGCACAAGUGUUUUUUUUUCUCUUUUGAUUUGUGUGAGAAAAUAUUUUUCUGGU
rnacentral:lncRNA from 1 species